UUAAGCAUAUCAAUAAGCGGAGGAAAAGAAACCAACAGGGAUUGCCCUAGUAACGGCGAGUGAAGCGGCAACAGCUCAAAUUUGAAAUCUGGCUCUCGGGCCCGAGUUGUAAUUUGUAGAGGAUACUUUUGAUGCGGUGCCUUCCGAGUUCCCUGGAACGGGACGCCAUAGAGGGUGAGAGCCCCGUCUGGUUGGAUGCCAAAUCUCUGUAAAGUUCCUUCGACGAGUCGAGUAGUUUGGGAAUGCUGCUCUAAAUGGGAGGUAUAUGUCUUCUAAAGCUAAAUACCGGCCAGAGACCGAUAGCGCACAAGUAGAGUGAUCGAAAGAUGAAAAGCACUUUGAAAAGAGAGUUAAAAAGUACGUGAAAUUGUUGAAAGGGAAGCGUUUAUGACCAGACUUGGGCUUGGUUAAUCAUCUGGGGUUCUCCCCAGUGCACUUUUCCAGUCCAGGCCAGCAUCAGUUUUCCCCGGGGGAUAAAGACUUCGGGAAUGUGGCUCUCUUCGGGGAGUGUUAUAGCCCGUUGUGUAAUACCCUGGGGGGGACUGAGGUUCGCGCAUCUGCAAGGAUGCUGGCGUAAUGGUCAUCAACGACCCGUCUUGAAACACGGACCAAGGAGUCGUCUUCGUAUGCGAGUGUUCGGGUGUCAAACCCCUACGCGUAAUGAAAGUGAACGCAGGUGAGAGCUUCGGCGCAUCAUCGACCGAUCCUGAUGUUCUCGGAUGGAUUUGAGUAAGAGCAUACGGGGCCGGACCCGAAAGAAGGUGAACUAUGCCUGUAUAGGGUGAAGCCAGAGGAAACUCUGGUGGAGGCUCGCAGCGGUUCUGACGUGCAAAUCGAUCGUCAAAUAUGGGCAUGGGGGCGAAAGACUAAUCGAACCUUCUAGUAGCUGGUUUCCGCCGAA
rnacentral:rRNA from 1 species